rnacentral:misc_RNA from 1 species
CACAUGCACAAGCCAUACGAGUACAAUACCUCUAAUCUUAAUGUGCUUCUAAGCUCCAUUUAGAUACGUGUGUUUUUUAAAUGAGAUAUUUGAAUUUGACUCAUUCGAAACACAAAUCAAAAUUCUCAUUUCAAAUUCCCAUAUACCUAAAUGGAUCUUAUUCAUUUGCUUUCAUAUUAUUGUUUUUAAUUUAGUUUCUGCUGCUUCAUUAGGCUGCACAUUCUUUCAGCAAAGC